rnacentral:rRNA from 1 species
UACGAAGGGGGCUAGCGUUGCUCGGAAUCACUGGGCGUAAAGCGCACGUAGGCGGAUUCUUAAGUCGGUGGUGAAAUCCUGGAGCUCAACUCCAGAACUGCCUUCGAUACUGAGAGUCUCGAGUCCGGGAGAGGUGAGUGGAACUGCGAGUGUAGAGGUGAAAUUCGUAGAUAUUCGCAAGAACACCAGUGGCGAAGGCGGCUCACUGGCCCGGUACUGACGCUGAGGUGCGAAAGCGUGGGGAGCAAAC